AGAGGCUGGGGUUCAGUGGGAGAGCCUGUGCUUGGCAUGCAGAAGAUCCCAGAUUCAAUUCCUGGCAUCUCUA
rnacentral:tRNA from 1 species